AUUCCAGCUCCAAUAGCGUAUAUUAAAGUUGUUGCAGUUAAAAAGCUCGUAGUUGGAUUUCUGGCCGGGGCGACCGGUCGGCGCCCUAGCGGCGUGUGCACUGUCGUCGGCCCUGGCCAUCUGCGUUCGGAGGGCCGCUGGCAUUAAGUUGUCGGCGGCUUGACGGGCGCCGUUUACUGUGAAAAAAUUAGAGUGUUUAAAGCAGGCGAUCGCUGUGAAUACAUUAGCAUGGAAUAAUGAGAUAGGACUUUGGUACUAUUUUGUUGGUUUGCGCACCAAGGUAAUGAUUAAUAGGGAUAGUUGGGGGUAUUCAUAUUCAAUUGUCAGAGGUGAAAUUCUUGGAUUUAUGGAAGAUGAACUUAUGCGAAAGCAUUUACCAAGGAUGUUUUCAUCG
rnacentral:rRNA from 1 species